GGCCCGCCCGGCCAACCGGUACGCGGCGGUGGCCCGAUGAGCCGCCGGCUGCACCUGGGCCUGUUCUUCACCGGCGUGGGCCCCCA
rnacentral:tRNA from 1 species